rnacentral:lncRNA from 1 species
CAACCUAGGCAUCAGCCUUUUGGGAGACCAAAUGGUGGCUGACUUGUUGGCUGUUGGGGGUGACUUUUGGUUGCCACAAUUUCAGUUACACUCAGCCAUUAAGUUUUUUUAAUUCCCUAGGUUAAUGACAUUAAGUUAUUUUAAUUCUAGGUUAGUGGGUCAUUACUAAAAUCUGCUGUAAAGCUUCUAUAUAAGCUGAACCAUU